GUACCUUCAAGCUAUGCUUGGUGAUGGGUGUUUGUCCUGUUCUUUUGUAACUGGACUCGCCUUAAAAUUAUUGGCAGCCGGCAUAUUGGCCUUUGGAGCGCAGCACAUUUUGCGAUCUAAGCCUGUAUACUAGUAUCCAUAAAGCUAAUUUAUCAC
rnacentral:misc_RNA from 1 species